UAGAGCUGCAGGUGGGAGAGGGAAAAUUUGGGGGAAAAUAUUGAUUUUUUUCGGAUGAAUCUGGGGGUUUUUUAAGGGUGAAUAUGGGGGGGAUAAUGGGUUUUCAGUUUGGGCGAUGGGGCAAAAUUUGGGAGGGUGUUGGGUUGUGUGAGGCAGCUCUAGGUGGGAAAAAUAUGUGGGAGAGGUAAAAAUGGGGAAAAAUCCAAGUUUUUGAACCAAAUCCUAAAUGAAAAUUCAAGUUUUCAGCCAAAUCCGUUUAUUUUUUUUGGUCAAAUCUGGGGAAAAAUCCCGGAUUUUCAAUUUGGGCGAUGGGGAAAAAUCAGGGAUGAUGUUGGACCGUGUGAGGCAUCUCUAGGUGGAAAAAAUAUGUGGGAGAGGUAAAAUUGGGGGAAAAUCCCGGUUUUUUGGACAAAUCUGUCUUUUUUUUUCAUGUCAAAUAUGGGGGAAAAAUCCCAGAUUUUCAGUUUGGGCGAUGGGGAAAAAUUUGGGAGGGUGUUGGGUUGUGUGAGGCAGCUCUAGGUGGGAAAAAUAUGUGGGAGAGGUAAAAUUGGGGAAAAUCCCAGUUUUUCAGACAAAUCCUAAAUGAAAAUUCAAGUUUUCAGCCAAAUCCGUUUUUUUUAUGGCCAAAUAUGGGGAAAAAAUCCUGGAUUUUAAGUUUGGGCGAUGGGGCAAAAUUUGGGAGGGUGUUGGGUUGUGUGAGGCAGCUCUAGGUGACAAAAAAUACAUGGAAGAGGUAAAAAUGGGGAAAAUCCCGGUUUUUUGGAUAAAUCUGUCUUUUUUUUAAUGACAAAUAUGGGGAAACAUCAAGGAUUUUAAGUUUGGGCGAUGGGGAAAAAUUUGGGAGGGUGUUGGGUUGUGUGAGGCACCUCUAGGCACCAAAAAUACGUGGGAAAGGUAAAAAUGGGGAAAAAUCCAAGUUUUUGAACCAAAUCCUAAAUGAAAAUUGAAGUUUUCAGCCAAAUCCAUUUUUUUUUUUGGUCAAAUAUGGGGAAAAAAUCCCGGAUUUUCAGUUUGGGCGAUGGGGCAAAAUUUGGGAGGGUGUUGGGCUGUGUCAGACAGCUCUAGGCACCAAAAAUAUGUGGGAAAGGUAAAAAUGGGGAAAAUCCCGGUUUUUUGGACAAAUCUGUCUUUUUUUUAAUGUCAAAUAUGGGGAAAAAAUCCCGGAUUUUCAGUUUGGGCGAUGGGGCAAAAUUUGGGAGGGUGUUGGGCUGUGUGAGGCAGCUCUAGGUGACAAAAAAUACAUGGAAGAGGUAAAAAUGGGGAAAAAUCCAAGUUUUUGAACCAAAUCCUAAAUGAAAAUUCAAGUUUUCACCAAAAUCCUUUUUUUUUUUGGUCAAAUAUGGGGAAAAAUCCCGGAUUUUCAGUUUGGGCGAUGGGGCAAAAUUUGGGAGGGUGUUGGGCGGUGGGAGGCAGCUCUAGGUGGGAAAAAUAGGUGGGAGAGGUAAAAAUGGGGAAAAACCCA
rnacentral:lncRNA from 1 species